rnacentral:rRNA from 1 species
UACGUAAGUGGCAAGCGUUGUCCGGAAUCAUUGGGCGUAAAGCGCGCGUAGGCGGCCCGGUAAGUCCGUUGUGAAAGUCAAAGGCUCAACCUUUGAACGCCGAUGGAUACUGCCGGGCUAGAGUCCGGAAGAGGCGAGUGGAAUUCCUGGUGUAGCGGUGGAAUGCGCAGAUAUCAGGAGGAACACCAAUAGCGAAGGCAGCUCGCUGGGACGGUACUGACGCUGAGGCGCGAAAGCGUGGGGAGCGAACAGG